UACGUAGGUCGCAAGCGUUGUCCGGAUUUACUGGGCGUAAAGAGCGCGCAGGCGGCUGGUCAAGUCCGAUGUGAAAUCUCCCGGCUCAACUGGGAAACUGCAUCGGAAACUGAUCGGCUUGAAGAUGGGAGAGGGUAGUGGAAUUCCCGGUGUAGUGGUGAAAUGCGUAGAUAUCGGGAGGAACACCAGUGGCGAAGGCGGCUCACUGGCCCGAUACUGACGCUGAGGCACGAAAGCGUGGGGAGCAAACAGG
rnacentral:rRNA from 1 species